AUGCAGUCGAACGGAGCUGCUUUGAUGAAGUUUUCGGAUGGAUUUAAAGCAGCUUAGUGGCGGACGGGUGAGUAACGCGUGGGUAACCUGCCUCACAUUGGGGGAUAACAGUUAGAAAUAGCUGCUAAUACCGCAUAAGCGCACGGUUCCGCAUGGAACAGUGUGAAAAACUCCGGUGGUGUGAGAUGGACCCGCGUCUGAUUAGCCAGUUGGCGGGGUAACGGCCCACCAAAGCGACGAUCAGUAGCCGGCCUGAGAGGGUGAACGGCCACAUUGGGACUGAGACACGGCCCAAACUCCUACGGGAGGCAGCAGUGGGGAAUAUUGCACAAUGGGGGAAACCCUGAUGCAGCGACGCCGCGUGAGUGAAGAAGUAUUUCGGUAUGUAAAGCUCUAUCAGCAGGGAAGAAAGUGACGGUACCUGAAUAAGAAGCCCCGGCUAACUACGUGCCAGCAGCCGCGGUAAUACGUAGGGGGCAAGCGUUAUCCGGAUUUACUGGGUGUAAAGGGAGCGUAGACGGCAAGGCAAGUCUGAAGUGAAAGCCCGGUGCUUAACGCCGGGACUGCUUUGGAAACUGUUUAGCUGGAGUGCCGGAGAGGUAAGCGGAAUUCCUAGUGUAGCGGUGAAAUGCGUAGAUAUUAGGAAGAACACCAGUGGCGAAGGCGGCUUACUGGACGGUAACUGACGUUGAGGCUCGAAAGCGUGGGGAGCAAACAGGAUUAGAUACCCUGGUAGUCCACGCCGUAAACGAUGAUUGCUAGGUGUAGGUGGGUAUGGACCCAUCGGUGCCGCAGCUAACGCAAUAAGCAAUCCACCUGGGGAGUACGUUCGCAAGAAUGAAACUCAAAGGAAUUGACGGGGACCC
rnacentral:rRNA from 1 species